GGCGAACGCUGGCGGCGUGCUUAACACAUGCAAGUCGAACGAAGAGCGAUGGACGCUUGCUUCUAUCAAUCUUAGUGGCGAACGGGUGAGUAACGCGUAAUCAACCUGCCCUUCAGAGGGGGACAACAGUUGGAAACGACUGCUAAUACCGCAUACGAUCUAAUCUCGGCAUCGAGGAUAGAUGAAAGGUGGCCUCUACAUGUAAGCUAUCACUGAAGGAGGGGAUUGCGUCUGAUUAGCUAGUUGGAGGGGUAACGGCCCACCAAGGCGAUGAUCAGUAGCCGGUCUGAGAGGAUGAACGGCCACAUUGGGACUGAGACACGGCCCAGACUCCUACGGGAGGCAGCAGUGGGGAAUCUUCCGCAAUGGACGAAAGUCUGACGGAGCAACGCCGCGUGAGUGAUGACGGCCUUCGGGUUGUAAAGCUCUGUUAAUCGGGACGAAAGGCCUUCUUGCGAAUAGUGAGAAGGAUUGACGGUACCGGAAGAGAAAGCCACGGCUAACUACGUG
rnacentral:rRNA from 1 species